UCUUUAGUUAAUUAGCAUAUCAUUCUUCUUUCUUCUCUAUUAGCAUUUGGGAUUAAAGGUUCCUUUGACCAAUUGCUUUGCGACGCAAGGAAGCAGAAAAAAUGAGAAAUCUUCAUUUCCUCAUCUUAUAUCUGUUGAGCAUCUCGACCUCCAUACAUUAUGUAGUUGUUACUUCUUUGCAUGUGAAGUAUCUUCCUGGUUUUGAAGGUCCUCUUCCUUUCGCGCUCGAGACAGGGUAUGUGAGUGUUGGUGAAUCUGAGGAUGUUGAGCUCUUUUACUACUUUGUAAAAUCAGAGAGAAAUCCAAAGAAAGAUCCUCUCAUGAUUUGGCUCACUGGUGGGCCUGGAUGCAGCUCCCUUUCUGCGUUACUCUUUGCAAACGGUAGGUAACAAAUGGUUUUGAUUGUUACCAGAUGAGUUGUGUAGUUUAAUGGAACCCUAAAUUUCAUGAUUUACAUAAAUCAGACUUGGAGGACUAAGACAAGUAUUUCAGUUGAUGUCUUUUUCUUCCUCAAAUGGGUUUUGUUAGGUCCUUUAGUAUUUAAAAAGGAUGAAUAUAAUGGGACACUGCCUCCUCUGGAGCUAGCAUCUUUUUCUUGGACAAAGGGGAGAGACUAAACCAACUUUUUUUAGUCUCUUCUGUUAGUAGUAGUCAAAAGUAGCUAAAAGGCAAGAGAUUACACCAACGUUUGUACAUAAAACCGUUCUUCUCUUUCCUAUAAAUUGCUUCAAUUUUUUUUUUAAAUACAACAUUUUUCAGAUUUGUAUAUAAUUCAUAUUUUUAGGUAGCUAACAUUUUAUUAUUGGAAUCUCCUGUUGGCACUGGAUAUUCUUAUGCGAAAACUCCGCUUGCUUCUGAGGCGAGCGACACCAAACAAUUUCAUCAAAUCGACCAAUUCCUUAGAAGAUGGUUGGUUGAUCACCCUGAGUUUAUUUCGAGUCCAUUUUACGUUGGUGGAGAUUCAUAUGCUGGGCACAUUGUUCCAGGAGUUGUGCAACAGAUUUCACUUGGAAAUGAGAAAGGUCUAACACCAUUCAUAAGUCUUCAGGGAUAUGUUCUUGGAAACCCUGUGACAAACCUAAAAAUUGAAACUAAUCAUAGAGUUUCAUUUGCUCAUGGGAUGGGACUAAUUUCGCAUGAGCUCUUUGAGUCUCUUGAAAAAAGUUGUGGAGGAAACUACAUGGAUGUACACCCGAGUAAUGCAAAAUGCGUAAAAAAUCUUCAAGCUUAUAAAAAUUGUAUCUCGGAGAUAUACACAGAGCAGAUUUUGUUACCAAAUUGCCCAGUAGAUUAUGUACCACAAAAACUACAAUUCUUACCAAACAUCAAAAACGGUAGAAGAAGAGAACUGAAGGAGUUUUCAGGACUUAUGGUCAAUUUCUGGCUUCCUUUUGGGCAAACGAUGAAAUUGUACGCAGAGCUCUAGGAGUGAAGAAGGAGUUAGGAAAAUGGACCCGAUGCAACUUCCAAAACAUUCCAUAUACAUAUGAUAUUGACAGUCCCAUUCCAUAUCACGUGAACAACAGUCGUAAAGGCUUCCGCUCUCUCAUAUCAAGAAUUUUGUUUAUUCAUGUGUCAAAUAUUAGUUAAAUAUCAUUCAUUCUUGUUGUGUAAGUCACAAACUCAGUAUCUGGAAGUUUUUGAACAGUGGUGAUCAUGAUAUGUCAAUACCUUUCACUGCAACGGAAGAAUGGAUCAAAGGUCUCAACUAUUCCAUUGUUGAUGACUGGAGACCUUGGAUGAUGAGUAGCUAUCAAGUCGGUGGAUAUACAAGGACUUACGCGAAUAAGAUGACAUUUGCAACCA